rnacentral:ncRNA from 1 species
AGCUUGACACUGAACAUUGAGCCUUGAUGUGUAGGAUAGGUGGGAGGCUUUGAAGUGUGGACGCCAGUCUGCAUGGAGCCGACCUUGAAAUACCACCCUUUAAUGUUUGAUGUUCUAACGUUGACCCGUAAUCCGGGUUGCGGACAGUGUCUGGUGGGUAGUUUGACUGGGGCGGUCGCCUCCUAAAGAGUAACGGAGGAGCACGAAGGUUGGCUAAUCCUGGUCGGACAUCAGGAGGU